AACGCGAAGAACCUUACCUGGCCUUGACAUGUACGUAGUAGAAGGGUGAAAGCCUGACGAGGUAGCAAUACCAGCGUACACAGGUGCUGCAUGGCUGUCGUCAGCUCGUGUCGUGAGAUGUUGGGUUAAGUCCCGCAACGAGCGCAACCCUUGUGUCCUGUUGCCACCCCCAUGAAAGUGGGGAGCACUCUGGACAGACUGCCUCGCUUAAACGAGGAGGAAGGUGGGGAUGACGUCAAGUCAGUAUGGCCCUUACGGCCAGGGCUGCACACGUACUACAAUGCCCGGCACAAAGGGAAGCAAGACCGCAAGGUGGAGCAAAUCCCCAAAAACCGGGCCCAGUUCAGAUUGUCGUCUGCAACUCGACGACAUGAAGUUGGAAUCGCUAGUAAUGGCGCAUCAGCUACGGCGCCGUGAAUACGUUCCCGGGCCUUGUACACACCGGUAUCUC
rnacentral:rRNA from 1 species